ACAUGAAGUCGGAGUUGCUAGUAAUCCCGAAUCAGCAUGUCGGGGUGAAUGCGUUCCCGGGUCUUGUACACACCGCCCGUCAAGCCAUGGGAGUUGGGAGUACCCAAAGUCGGUAGCCUAACCGCAAGGAAGGAGCCGCCUAAGGUAAUACCAAUGACUGGGGUUAAGUCGUAACAAGGUAAC
rnacentral:rRNA from 1 species